GUGUUCCGCUAUUUUUCUAACAGUACUAAAAGUGUUCCGCCGCUACAAAAAGGUUGAGAACCACUGGUCUAGACUGACAGGAUUGAUCGAUCAAUCCUGAAGUCUAGAGCAAGUCUAGAAUUUUCGCCAGAAUUGAUCGAUCAAUCUUGUCGUAAAACUUGAUUGAUGUUAACCGCAGUAGUGAUUCUGGCUGCGGGAAUGAGUAUUUCGUUUCAGUUAGAAUCCCAAAAGAAAUAGCCAUAAUUCGAUAGAACAGCGAUUUCCAAUUAGCUAAGAAUUGUGGUCUUCCCUUUUUCUAAUAAAUAUGAGUUUCUAUAUAAAUGAUGCCACAGAGUUCCCUAAAUUGAUUCUACGGACCCCCAAGAAUCCGCCGACCUAUGUUCAUGGGAAUUUUUUUCAUCAUUUUGACUAUAUAGUAAUUCCGGUAGAGAUGGACCAGCUUUUUUCGAAUCGCUCUAUCUUCUCAUAUACUGCAAUAUUAUUGAGGAAAAUGAUUUCGUGGUAUUCUGGUGACAAAUCACUAGUAAUAAAUAAAGGAAAAAAUGCAAUAUAUAUAUAAACAAAUUUUUUAUUAAUGAAAGAAAAAUAUGACGAGUGGUCCAUCUAUCCCACAUAUCUAUGGGUGAGAUGGACCAUGCAGUAUGGGAGAGAUGGACUUUUAGGAAAUGUCAAUAAAAACACAACAAAGCAUCAAUAUUAAUAUUUAUUAAACCUUCUAGUAUAUAAAAUUACAUGAAAGAAAUUAAAUUUUGUCGCAAUAUUUUUAUUAACUUAUAUUAUUUUCAUUAUGUUUUUUGUUUUUUACCACACAAGUCAAUACAAAUUCAAAUACACAUUAUAUAGGCCUAUAUGUAGAGAAUUUACACAUAUAAGUAAAUUGAACAAACUAUACUAAAGACAAACUAUUAAUUAGUGAUUUUUCGAAAAAUUAGUUCAUCAUCCAAAAUAAUCCAUACAUCAUAAUGGACAAUCUCUCUCAUAUUGGUCUGGUCC
rnacentral:lncRNA from 1 species